rnacentral:rRNA from 1 species
GACGAACGCUGGCGGCGUGCUUAACACAUGCAAGUCGAACGGAAAGGCCCUGCUUUUGUGGGGUGCUCGAGUGGCGAACGGGUGAGUAACACGUGAGUAACCUGCCCUUGACUUUGGGAUAACUUCAGGAAACUGGGGCUAAUACCGGAUAGGAGCUCCUGCUGCAUGGUGGGGGUUGGAAAGUUUCGGCGGUUGGGGAUGGACUCGCGGCUUAUUAGCUUGUUGGUGGGGUAGUGGCUUACCAAGGCUUUGACGGGUAGCCGGCCUGGGAGGGUGACCGGCCACAUUGGGACAGAGGAGGCACCAGGAGUCCUACGGGGGGCAGCGGUGGGGGAUUGUGCAAAAAGGGCGGAGGCCGUGUGCAGGAACGCCGCGUGCGGGAGGACGGCCUUCGGGGUGGAAACCGCUUUCGCCUGUAACGAAGCGUGAGUGACGGUAAUGGGUAAAGAAGCACCGGCUAACUACGUG